rnacentral:lncRNA from 1 species
UGGCUUCUCAAAGAUGUAUUUGACUGGAUCCAUCCUAGAAAUCAACAGAGUAGUAUGGUUCAACAUAUACUGCCUUAGUCGGCGAGCAGCCCAGGCCAAAGCACAGCAAGUUUUCUCGAGCAGUGAAUAUCUUGUUUCACAGUCGGUAAACUUUUUGCUUAGGUAGUAUAUGGCAUGCUCUUUUCGACCAGACUCGUCAUGCUGACCCAAUACACA